GAUGUACGCUGGCGGCGUGCCUAAUACAUGCAAGUCGAGCGAACAGACGAGGAGCUUGCUCCUUCGACGUUAGCGGCGGACGGGUGAGUAACACGUAGGUAACCUACCUAUAAGACUGGGAUAACUUCGGGAAACCGGAGCUAAUACCGGAUAAUAUUUCGAACCGCAUGGUUCGAUAGUGAAAGAUGGCUUUGCUAUCACUUAUAGAUGGACCUGCGCCGUAUUAGCUAGUUGGUAAGGUAACGGCUUACCAAGGCAACGAUACGUAGCCGACCUGAGAGGGUGAUCGGCCACACUGGAACUGAGACACGGUCCAGACUCCUACGGGAGGCAGCAGUAGGGAAUCUUCCGCAAUGGGCGAAAGCCUGACGGAGCAACGCCGCGUGAGUGAUGAAGGUCUUCGGAUCGUAAAACUCUGUUAUUAGGGAAGAACAAACGUGUAAGUAACUGUGCACGUCUUGACGGUACCUAAUCAGAAAGCCACGGCUAACUACGUG
rnacentral:rRNA from 1 species